UACAGAGGUCCCGAGCGUUGUUCGGAUUCACUGGGCGUAAAGGGUGCGUAGGUGGCUUGAAAAGUUUGAUGUGAAAGCUCAGGGCUUAACCCUGAAAUGGCAUUGAAAACUGUCGGGCUGGAGGUUUGGAGGGGGGACUGGAAUUCUUGGUGUAGCAGUGAAAUGCGUAGAUAUCAGGAGGAACACCGGUGGCGAAGGCGGGUCUCUGGGCCGAUACUGACGCUGAGGAGCGAAAGCGUGGGGAGCGAACAGG
rnacentral:rRNA from 1 species